rnacentral:rRNA from 1 species
GAUGAACGCUGGCGGCGUGCUUAACACAUGCAAGUCGAACGGUGAAGGCGGAGCUUGCUCUGCUGGAUCAGUGGCGAACGGGUGAGUAACACGUGAGCAAUCUGCCCCUGACUCUGGGAUAAGCGCUGGAAACGGCGUCUAAUACUGGAUACGAGCUGCGAAGGCAUCUUCAGCAGCUGGAAAGAAUUUCGGUCAGGGAUGAGCUCGCGGCCUAUCAGCUUGUUGGUGAGGUAAUGGCUCACCAAGGCGUCGACGGGUAGCCGGCCUGAGAGGGUGACCGGCCACACUGGGACUGAGACACGGCCCAGACUCCUACGGGAGGCAGCAGUGGGGAAUAUUGCACAAUGGGCGAAAGCCGGAUGCAGCAACGCCGCGUGAGGGACGACGGCCUUCGGGUUGUAAACCUCUUUUAGCAGGGAAGAAGCGAAAGUGACGGUACCUGCAGAAAAAGCGCCGGCUAACUACGU